GUGAUGGGCCGCGCUGGGCGGGGAGGGGAGCGAGCGCCAUCUUGGUGGGGGCGCUGCUGCCCAGGCCCUCCGUCGGAGCCGCUGGGCCUGGCCCUGGGAUCCCUCUUGGCGUGGUCUGGACACAACUGGGAGCGAGUGGCAACCGGAGCGGUGCCUCCUGCGUUGUGUCGGUGCUGCCCGGAGGCUGCUGUGCCCGUUCCAGUGGUGAUGGAUGAGGGAUGGUUGGAGGAGGUUGAGCAGGCCGGAAAGCUGAGCCCCCUACAUUUUUACUACGUGAGGUAGUAUGUGUUGGUAACAGCAUCAAUCUCAUUUUAUGUCUGGAGAAAAUGAGGGACAGCUGUACUGUUUUCUGCUUCCCGGUCUGGUACUUGACUCCAUGAUACAGAGCCUAUACUGCUGAACCUAAAGGAGCCAGAACUCCCACCUCCAAGGUGAGACACAGAUAACUGCUUUCCAAGCAGAAGCAGCUCAGUCAGAAGGCUGUAAAGAAGCUGAGGAGGACCCACCCAGCAGCUCCGGAAAAGCACAGCGUCAGGGGGAGGGAGAAAAUGAAAAAGAGUGAGAAUGUUAUUUUUUCCCCUCUUAGACAGAAGACUUGCUUAGGGAGUGUAAAUACAAUCUAAAAAUGCAUACAGGUUUGAAGAAAGCCAUCUGUUAUGGUUUGCAAUGGGCUGAAAUAGCCAUCAGUUCAGCAGAAAGCAUUUUCUCCUUUACAAAUGUGAAUAUUGAUUCAGGGCAGGACUGUCAAUUCUCACAUGUACACUUCUCCUCAGAGACAAACAUACACCAUUUUCCAGGCAAACGACUGUGACCUUUGUUGUUACAUCUUUUGGGAAGACUGAAAAGGGGAACUGGUUCCUCUCUCACCAAGAAGCCACCAUUCCCACUGUUGCAAGCAGCAAUUUUCAAUUCUCAUGUUACUCCUCCUGGCACUCCUAAAUCCAUCAAGCUGGUAACUUCAUUAUGCCUGUUAUGUGGUCUUGGGUCUCCUGGUUCUGCCCUCAGCUGACACCUUGUCUUCAUUCUUCCCUGUGUUGUAUCUUAAUUUCCUUUGUAAUGUCAUUCAGGUCAUCUGCAUGCUAAUGCAAGAAAGAACAACUGUUCUUUUUCCUCAGCAAACUUGUAAUAUUUUCCUUCUUGAAACCUGAGGAAAAGAGAUGGAAGUUUUUCGCAUGCAAUGUCAUCAGCUUCUGUAUUUUAGAAUAACCACAGACAUGAGUAUGAAUUUGAAGUACUCCAUAUCAAGCUGACUUGAUGGCUGCUGACUGGCCAUGCACAUAUCUAAGCUGGAAAUCAGAAGUUUCUAGCUGUGAGAGCAAUCAUAUUAUGGAACACAUCUCCUGCCAGAGGGGUAAGAGGAAAAGAGUGGAAUAGUUUUUAGUAAUCUCUUGAAUGGGAUAGUCUAACAGAAAGCCUGUAAGAGGAAGGUGUAGGAUGUGAUGACAUACAGGUGAACACCAAAUAACAUAUCCAGUACUGAGAUUGGAUUAAAGUCCUGGUAAGAUUGCUCAGGGUCUCUGAUUAGGCUGUCCCUGCACUGGGGGUCACAUCCCUGCAGCCAAAAUGAGUGAUGAAGUGAUGUUAGAAACUAAAAAUACACAAGUGUCAGUCUGAAAGGAAAAUUCAGAAGACACUCCACCUACAUGCCCAGAGGCAGGAUGGGGUGCCCUGAUGCCACCCAAGCAGAUGUUUGCCUUAUCUGUGCUUAAGGAGUGCCAGGGAUGCUGCCACCUCCUACCUGCUACACUGCUCAUUGACUGAUGGUUGGGAAGGUUUCUCUCCUCUUUGUAACCAAACUGAGCUUGUUGCAUCUUGACCCAUUCUCAGCACACAUGGGGAGGAAUUGAUCCACAUCUUCUAACAACCUUAUGUAUUUGAGGUUCAUCAUCAUAUUCCCUCUUUUCUUCCUGCUAGACUAAAUCCUCUCAACCCUAUAUGUUUUGCACCUAUUAUAUACCAUUUGUUACCUUUCUGCAGUCCAAACCUAGACUAAUCCUCUUUAACUUGGGGGUAUGGAGAAAGAAAAAAUUACCCCCUGUGCAAGACCGAUAUGUUGUUGUCUUAAACAUUGUCAAAAUCAUAGAAAGACUUUUUGUCAAACUGCAAGGAAAAAACUGCCUGUCUGCGACCACCGAAACGCCCUCCCCUCCCAAAACCACCCCCCCCCAUAUGCUUCCUGACUGUAAUUUAGACUGUGAUGGGAACUUGAGAUAAGAUUAUUGUCUAAUUAUUUCAGGUCUAAGAAGAAGUAAACAAGGCUGAGUGAGUGGAGGAGGAGAAGGGUUUUGGGCGUGUGAUAACGAAAUCUCUCCACACAAAACACGACUAACUCCCCCCUCCAGGAAGGCCACAUACACACAGGACAUUCACGUGAGAGGAACUGAGAAGGGGUCAUAAACCAUCAAAGACCCUCAAAGUGCCGUCCAGACUCAUUCCUGAGGCCUUCUACCACCGAAGGACUGCACUGUGAUCCAAGUGAUGCAAUUAAUCCAGAGUCUGUCUCAAGAGACUGUAAAGCUUGCCCAGGGGAGGUGCCUGGGCAUCUCCUGAACGUAUAUUAAUCCACUGGACUCUGUGUUUUGCGGGACCCUCACCACCAAGAAGACCAGAAGAACCAGACCGGCAAGAUGCCACUGGGUUCCACAGAGUGGUGAUGCAUUUUCUAUUUAAUCUCCAUCACUCUCUUUCUUCCCUCCCCCCACCCCUUUUUUCCUAUUUCUUUCUGUCUCUCUCUCUGCCUCACAUUUACUGUUGAAUAAAAUCCAUACUAUUGACUUCGGCA